rfam:Ruminococcus sp. 37_24 Ley3_66761_scaffold_785, whole genome shotgun sequence.
GUAAUUUGACCGGGGUGCUUGUAAUACAGGCUGAGAGUAAGCGUAAACGCUUUAACCCGUUAACCUGAAUUGGAUAAUACCAGCGUAGGGAGUUUUAGAAAAAACAAU